AGUCGUACCAAGNUUUCCGUAGGUGAACCUGCGGAAGGAUCAUUAU
rnacentral:rRNA from 1 species